AACGCUAGCUACAGGCUUAACACAUGCAAGUCGAGGGGAAACGAUAUUGGAAGCUUGCUUCCGAUAGGCGUCGACCGGCGCACGGGUGAGUAACGCGUAUCCAAUCUGCCCACCACUUGGGGAUAACCUUGCGAAAGUAAGACUAAUACCCAAUGAUAUCUCUAGAAGACAUCUGAAAGAGAUUAAAGAUUUAUCGGUGAUGGAUGGGGAUGCGUCUGAUUAGCUUGUUGGCGGGGUAACGGCCCACCAAGGCGACGAUCAGUAGGGGUUCUGAGAGGAAGGUCCCCCACAUUGGAACUGAGACACGGUCCAAACUCCUACGGGAGGCAGCAGUGAGGAAUAUUGGUCAAUGGGCGAGAGCCUGAACCAGCCAAGUAGCGUGAAGGAUGAAGGUCCUAUGGAUUGUAAACUUCUUUUAUAGUAGAAUAAAGUGAUCCACGUGUGGGUUUUUGUAUGUAUACUAUGAAUAAGGAUCGGCUAACUCCGUGCCAGCAGCCGCGGUAAUACGGAGGAUCCGAGCGUUAUCCGGAUUUAUUGGGUUUAAAGGGUGCGUAGGCGGAAUAAUAAGUCAGUUGUGAAAGUUUGCGGCUCAACCGUAAAAUUGCAGUUGAUACUGUUAUUCUUGAGUGUACAUAAGGUAGGCGGAAUUCGUGGUGUAGCGGUGAAAUGCUUAGAUAUCACGAAGAACUCCGAUUG
rnacentral:rRNA from 1 species